rnacentral:snoRNA from 12 species
GCCCCAUGAUGAGAACAAGGCAAAUACGAGCUGAUUGGCUGGGAUCUUGUGUUCUCUUGCUCUCUGACUGGUGGGUAAUCUUGGCAGAGCAGUGGAGAUUGGCUGCGCUGCUGUAAGGGCCCACCCAUAUUGAUGCUGGCUGUCAAGCAUAAUACAAGUCUCCUUCAGAAAUGGACAUUUGUGGAUGAUUUGGCAGCUUACAGUGUGUGUGUGUUUGAGUAUGUCCCGUGUGUGUGUGUGUGUGUGUGUGUGUGUAAAUGUGUCAGUCAGCAAAGAGUCACAUCUCCUAAUGGGCCUUCCAGCUGUGAAUGCUUUCUUUGGUAAUCUGAGGGCA